AUUGAACGCUGGCGGCGUGCUUAACACAUGCAAGUCGAGCGGCAGCGCGGGAGCAAUCCUGGCGGCGAGUGGCGAACGGGUGAGUAAUACAUCGGAACGCGUCCUGUAAUGGGGGAUAACCUGGCGAAAGCCAGGCUAAUACCGCAUACGUCCUGAGGGAGAAAGCGGGGGAGUCGCAAGACCUCGCGUUAUAGGAGCGGCCGAUGUCGGAUUAGCUAGUUGGCGGGGUAACGGCCCACCAAGGCGACGACGGGUAGCAGGCCUGAGAGGGUGGUCUGCCACACUGGGACUGAGACACGGCCCAGACUCCUACGGGAGGCAGCAGUGGGGAAUAUUGCGCAAUGGGGGAAACCCUGACGCAGCCACGCCGCGUGGGUGAUGAAGGCC
rnacentral:rRNA from 1 species